GACGAACGCUGGCGGCGCGCUUAACACAUGCAAGUCGUGCGGUGUCGAAGGCAAGUCUUACGACAAGCCUUCGACACAGCGGCGAACGGGUGAGUAACACGUGAGUAGCUGUCCUAAGGAGGGGGAUAACGCCUGGAAACGGGUGCUAACACCCCAUAUGCCUCGCAAGAGGUGAAAGUGUACUUGCUACAGCCUUAGGGUGUGCUCGCGGCCUAUCAGCUAGUUGGUGAGGUAACGGCUCACCAAGGCCAAGACGGGUAGCCGGCCUGAGAGGGUGUACGGCCACACUGGAAUUGAGAUACGGUCCAGACUCCUACGGGAGGCAGCAGUGGGGGAAUCUUGGGCAAUGGGCGAAAGCCUGACCCAGCGACGCCGCGUUGGGGAUGAAGCCCUUCGGGGCGUAAACCCAUGUUGUAGGGGACGAAGAAAGUGACGGUACCCUACGAGAAGCCCCGGCCAACUACGUGCCAGCACGCCGACGACACAUACCGCGUCGAGGCGG
rnacentral:rRNA from 1 species